rnacentral:rRNA from 1 species
GACGAACGCUGGCGGCGUGCUUAACACAUGCAAGUCGAGCGAGGUCCAUCCGGUGGCAACACCGGGGAAGACCUAGCGGCGAACGGGUGAGUAACACGUGAGCAACCUGCCCCGAAGUCUGGGAUAACACCGGGAAACCGGUGCUAAUACCGGAUGUCCUCCUUGGACCGCAUGAUCCGAUGAGGAAAGAAUUUCGCUUCGGGAGGGGCUCGCGGGCUAUCAGCUUGUUGGUGGGGUAACGGCUCACCAAGGCGACGACGGCUAGCUGGUCUGAGAGGACGACCAGCCACACUGGGACUGAGACACGGCCCAGACUCCUACGGGAGGCAGCAGUGGGGAAUCUUGCGCAAUGGGCGAAAGCCUGACGCAGCAACGCCGCGUGGGGGAUGAAGGCCCUCGGGUUGUAAACCCCUUUCAGCAGGGACGAAUUUGACGGUACCUGCAGAAGAAGCCCCGGCCAACUACGUGCCAGCAGCCGCGGUAAUACGUAGGGGGCGAGCGUUGUCCGGAUUUAUUGGGCGUAAAGAGCUCGUAGGCGGCUUGGCAAGUCGGGUGUGAAACCUCCAGGCUCAACCUGGAGACGCCACUCGAUACUGCUAUGGCUAGAGUCCGGUAGGGGACCACGGAAUUCCUGGUGUAGCGGUGAAAUGCGCAGAUAUCAGGAGGAACACCGGUGGCGAAGGCGGUGGUCUGGGCCGGCACUGACGCUGAGGAGCGAAAGCGUGGGUAGCAAACAGGAUUAGAUACCCUGGUAGUCCACGCCGUAAACGUUGGGCACUAGGUGUGGGGCCUUAUCAACGGGUUCCGUGCAGUAGCUAACGCAUUAAGUGCCCCGCCUGGG